GACGAACGCUGGCGGCGUGCUUAACACAUGCAAGUCGAGCGGAGCGGCGAACGGGUGAGUAACGCGUGAGUAACUGCCCCCCUCUCUGGGAUAACAGUUGGAAACGGCUGCUAAUACAGGAUAGUGGGGGAUGACUCGCGUCCAAUCAGCUGGUUGGUGGGGUAGUGGCCUACCAAGGGGACGACGGGUAGCCGGCCUGAGAGGGCGACCGGCCACAUGGGGCUGCGGUACGGGCCAAAAGCCUACGGGAGGCAGCAGGGGGGAAUAUUGCACAGUGGGGGAAACCCUGAGGCAGCAACGCGCGUGCGUGAGGACGGCCUUCGGGUUGUAAACCGCUUUCAGCCAUGACGCGGUAGUGGCAGAAGAAGCACCGGCUAACUACGUGCCAGCAGCCGCGGUAAUAC
rnacentral:rRNA from 1 species